GCGAUCAUACUAGCACUAAUGCACUGGAUGGCAUAAGAACUUCGUAGUUAAGCGUGUUUGGGUGAGAGUAGUACUAGGAUGGGUGACCCCUGGGAAACCCUUGUGUUGCACCCU